GUGGGGAAUAUUGGACAAUGGGGGCAACCCUGAUCCAGCAAUGCCGCGUGAGUGAGGAAGGCCUUCGGGUUGUAAAGCUCUUUCGGCGGGGACGAUGAUGACGGUACCCGCAGAAGAAGCCCCGGCUAACUUCGUGCCAGCAGCCGCGGUAAUACGAAGGGGGCGAGCGUUGUUCGGAUUUACUGGGCGUAAAGGGCGCGCAGGCGGCGAUCAUUUGUCAGGCGUGAAAGCCCCGGGCUCAACCUGGGAAUUGCGCUUGAAACGGGAUUGCUAGAGAUCGGGAGAGGAGCGUGGAAUUCCCAGUGUAGAGGUGAAAUUCGUAGAUAUUGGGAAGAACACCGGUGGCGAAGGCGGCGCUCUGGACCGAGACUGACGCUGAGGCGCGAAAGCGUGGGGAGCAAACAGGAUUAGAAACCCGUGUAGUCC
rnacentral:rRNA from 1 species